rnacentral:lncRNA from 1 species
AGAGAUGAGGGCAUUUGAACUUCUUCAUCUAAUCCCACAGAUCUGUAUGAAUUCAAAGAUAUACGAUCUCCCUAGGUAAUUCUCUUACGCGCAAUUUUUCAAUUUCGCGGGUUUUUGCAUACCAACUUUUGCACGACGAUAAGAAACAUUUUUUCUGUAGGAAUUCUGAGACUUUAUUUUCUAUUCUUCUUCUGUGCAUGUGAUAUCGCUCCAAAUUUCUCAACACCUUCCUCGUGUGAGAGUCACGAAUGAUGAUGCUAGCCGCUUGUAUCAUAGGCGAGAUGACAAAUCCAACUAUGAUUAGGGGUGGAGGCGAUGAUGAUGACACUUUACAUGAGGCAGAGGGGAGAGAAGGCAGUGCAAUGUUCGACGAUGCAUGGAGGAGGCAAAGGCAGCACAAGGGCAAUAGUAGAGGCGAUGUAAGGCGAAGGCAACAAUGGGUCUAGCAGAGAUAGAGGUAAAAUGAUUUUUCGUGCAAGAAGAGGCAUACUAUCGGAAUUUUUGAAAAUGAGGCUCCUUUGAUAGAAUUUCGGGUUUAGGAUUGUGAGCGACGAUGGCAUGCACUCGCAUGAGGGUGGGGCUAGCGAGAUAUGUAGAGGUGAUGACUGAUCGAUGAUGAAAGUAAG